UCCUAAAACCUACUAAUAUAAAACUACAAGCAUAUAUUGUUCUGUGCUACAAGUGUCUAUUAAAUUACAAUUUUUUGCAUUACGCGUUCAAAAAUUAUUUUUAUUUUAAUUAUUAUUAGCAAUUAUAAUUAUAAAUAAUAAUUAAAAUCAUCAUGGUUAUCACGUGCGCUGCAUCGUUUUGUUAAAAUAUGAGUGGACAGAAACAAUCCAAGGUUUCGUUUUUCAGGUUUCCGAAGAAUGUUGAUGAGUGUAAUCAAUGGGCAUCCUUAAUUGGUCGGAAUGACCUGGUAAAUUGUAAUGUUCAGUUUCAAAGAGUGUGUUCUGAACAUUUUUAAGCUACAUGCUUUACAUCUUCAUCAAUAGGACGACAGCAAGUGCGUCUUAUCAGUGGUGCUAUGCCCUCAAAGAAGAAGCAAAACAAUGCAGAGCUUGAUACUGUCACUUUCAAUGAUGAAACCGCAACUUCUGAGGGACAAGUAUCUAUGAUGACUGUAACAGAUGUUUGUGACGAAAAAAUGUUUUAAUAAUGUUGAAAUUCCAACUGAUGUAUCACAAAUGGUGAUUGAAAGUUGUUCAACUGUAUUGUCAUUUAAGUACCAAAGUAACUUAAGUAGUUCAAGUUUGUCUUUAGCAUCAACAAGUAGCUUUUAUUCAAUGACUUUGACACAAACAUCGUUACAAUUAUCAUCAGGUACCCCACGAAAAAGUAAACUUAGGAAAAGUAUGAAAUAUAAAUAUGAUCAGUAUAAGGAUUUACUUAAGCAAUUCACUGAAUUACUAUAAUCUGUAGAUAGAGCAUAACAUCCCACAAUUCAAGAUUUCCAUGAGUUAUGUGAUACAUUUUUGAGGCCUGGCAUCGCUAAGUUUGUUAAAAUAUCCUUCCUUAAAUAUCAAAUCAUCUAAAGGUUUCCGGUAUUCUAAUUCAGUGAAACAAUUUGCACUUAAAAUUCAUUUUAUUGGGCCUAAAGUAUAUUGUUUAAUUAAAACAACUUGUAAUUUGCCAAAUAUAAGAAAUUUACAAAAAGUCACUGAACGUUGGGAAAUAAAUACUGGUUUUAGUGACUUGGUGUUCAAAGUGUUAACUUUAGAAGGUAGUACCAUGUCUGCAAAGAGUAAAGAAUGUGUUUUAUGUGUAGAUGAAAUGUCUAUUAAAGCUUUUCUUUAUUAUAAUACUGUUAAAGAUCAAAUUAUUGGAUUCCAUAACACUGGCUCCAUCAAAACGCAUGAGCUAGCUAAAUCAGUAAUGUUGACUGACAACAGUCUUGUUUGAGAGUUUCUGUGGAUCAUUGUCUGCUGUCUUUAUUUGAAAAAUCAAUUGUUAAAUAAUAUUUCAAACUAUGAGUUCGUCAUCAUUGAUAACCUUUUAACAAUGGCAAAAAAAGAACAUCAAGGUGGAGAUUUCACAACAGCCCAAAGAAUAUGUAAAGGUUUAAUUACACAUAAAUCGAGAGAUUUGAAUGUUCUACUGCUUACAGCCAGUGUAUUUUUCAGUAACCAACAUUUUGAUGAAUUUAUUGGCUACUUAGAACAAGCAAAAAGUAUUAACCCCAAAUGUUCCGAAGUUUUAAGGAACUUUGGAUUGGUUUAUAUGAGAAAAUCCCAAAAGGAUUUAGCAAAUGAAUACGCAAUAAGACCAUAUGGUGUGGAUGCACGGCCAGAUUAUGCAGAAAUUUUGUUUGAAACCAACGAUUUAAUUACGGCUGAAGCAUCUUAUAUACGUGCUAUAAGUCUCAAACCCGAAUUACAUGAAGCACGUAAUAAGUAGGUACGGAAAACUACUUUUAAAAUUAAACAUAAUAUAAGAGGCUAAAAUGGAGUUUAAGAUUGCCCACAAAAGCGCAAAAGAAUGUCCAGAAACAUUAAACAAUUUAGCAGAUGUAUAUUAUAAGAGCGGUAAAUUUGGAAAAUCUAUUUUGAAAUAUAAACAACUCUUAGAAACAAACCCCGAUCGGACGAAUGCUUGUUUUCAGUUGGGAAUGGCAUACUUAAAACUUGAAGACUACCAUAAUGCAAGUGAUGCAUUUAAGAAUGCAAUAAUACUCGAUCCCAAAAAUGUAUUAUUUUUAAGAAAACUAGCAGUUACAGUAGAUAUUUACCAAAAAUGUUUGAACCUCAAGCCUGAGGACUUUGAUUUAAAUUUCGAACUCGCUUUAAUGUAUUUCAAUAACAUUCAAAAUUAUCAUGAAGCUGUAAUAUAUCUUAAAAAAUGUAGUCAAUUAAAUCCGGGUAGAAUUGACAUAUACAAAAAGCUUUUUGAAACAUACGGAGAAACUAAAGAUCAUUUAAAUGCAUCCGAUGCUUGCAUGUCCAUGGGGAAUUUGUAUCUGGAGAAGGAUGAUUAUAAAAAUGCAAGAAACUCAUUCUGUUGUGCGGUACUUAUGAACCCGAGGAAUGCAUUUGGUCAUUGGAAAAUGGGCCUGACAUUGUAUCAACUGGGACAUGAGGAAUUGGCUUUUAAAAAAUACAAACAUUGAAUAGCAAUAGAGCUGGACAUUUCCGAUGGCUAUUGCGAUAUGGUGGUAAUAUUUUAUAAACAUGGCCUACUCGAACAAGCCAAAGUAUUUUAUGAAAUGGCAAUCAAGUUAAGUCCAGACGACCAUGACAACGCUCGGUUAAUUUGGCCGAUAUGUCAAUGAAAAAAAUGGAUCUUGAUGACGCUAUGACAGACAAUGAAAAGCAAUAGAAUAUGACAAUACACCUGUCAAGUAGAUGUUAAUUUGAUAUUCCACAUCUUCAAACGACAAUAAUUCAUCCUGGUUCAAUUACGUUGAACACCAUAAAGAUUUGUCUCAACCCAGGAAAUAUUGAUGUUUUUUGUAAUAUUUAUUUAUAACAAAUUAACUAAAAUCAUAAUUUUUGGUUUUAAUAUAUAAUCUUUUGAACUUAAAAUGUCUGUAAAAAUAACUGUGUUUAUAUAAGUUUUAGAUUAUUAGGUAACAGUGUGAGAUUUGUUGUUUUAAAUUUUCAAACCUUAGAUUUAAAAAUUGAACAUUUUAUAAUUUUUUAACUACUAUAAAUUUGAAAGUUUUUCAUAUU